UCAUCUCCAUAUGAUUUAUUGCCUACUCUUACACCUUUGACCAUUUUGAUGAGAUUCCAAAUCUUACUUAUUGGAGUAGUUCUAUUAAAAGAGUUACAUAAAUUAUUCCAUCCUAUCUUUUUCUGUUCUGAGAUAGUCCUUUUGUUUAAUGCAUCUUUUUUUUUGUAGUUUAUAUAAUUAUCUAUAUUAGGCUCACUUCUGUAUAGUUUUAAUGCAUUAUAUAAAGCAAUAAAAAUAAUCAUAAAACCAAAUAUAUUAAAUUCACCGCGCCAAAUGUCAAAAAUGUAGAUGCGAAUAUUUUAUUAAAUGGAGAGGUGGUAAAACCAGUGGAAUCUGCUAUAUUUCUUGACAUUACUCUUGAUUCCAAAUUGCAGUGGGGCCCCCAUAUUGAAGGAUGGCGAAUAGGCUUAGUUCUGGAGCAUAUGCGGUUAAGAAAAUCAGACGGUUAACUGACAUAGAUACGGCGAGAUUAGUAUACUUUAGUUAUUUUCAUAGUGUUAUGUCCUAUGGUAUAUUGUUAUGGGGCAGUGCGGCCGAUAUUAAUACUGUCUUUGUGCUGCAGAAGAGGGCUAUUCGCGCGAUUUAUAACCUAGGUCCUAAAGAAUCAUAAAGAGAAAAAUUUAAAGAAAUUAACAUUUUGACUGUUGCUUCUCAAUACAUAUUUGAUAAUGUUUUGUAUGUUUAUAAGCACAUUGAGGAAUUUUCUAGAAACUGUGACAUUCAUAAUGUUAACACGAGGAACAAACAUAAACUUGUUAUGCCUACUACUCGGUUGGGUCGAGCUAGUAAGUCUUUUGUUGGGCGAUNUAUAUGCUUCUACAAUAUGAUCCCAGAAAAUGUACAAAACAAAUGUGUUACGAAAUUUAAAAGAAUUGUUAAAAAACGUUUGUGUGGGAAAGGUUAUUAUAGCAUAAACGAUUUUCUUAAUGACACCACGGACUGGGAUUAAAGCGAACACCCUCAGGCUCUUUAAUUAUUAAUGUUUAUUGUACGAUAUUACAUUGUAAUCCAUAUUUUAUAUAAACAAAAAAGCCCGCUGAGUUUCUUACGCCCAUUCUUCUCAGGUCUGAGGCAGUCUCUUUUGAAUGGGUGCUAGAUUUUUGACGUUCAAUAAGUGAUUAUAAAUCCUAUUUUGAAUAAAAAUAUUUGAAUUUGAAUUUUAAUUUGAAUAACACUUUGUUCACAAAUAUUAUCCACCAAGGUGCUGUUUGCCUACUUACAAAGUUAUUUCGUUUAGUGAACUUUGGAAUUGUCAUUUCUUUAAGAGUAUUUAAACGUACACAGAAAUCAUUGUAACUUGAAACUGGAUUAUGUAAUUUUAAAACCAGGUUAUCAAAUAAUGUUUUGGAGAGAUUUUUAUAUGAUACCCAAUUAGCUUUUUUUAUAUAUAAACCUAUCUACUGGAGAAUUUAUGUGAUAUUUAUCAAUACAAAUUGAGAUCUCUGUUAUUGUUGGAUAAUGGUAACUUCCAAUAGUAUCAUCAUGGACAGACCAAUCGCAAAGUGAUGCGAGGCCAGCACUAAUGAAACAAACAUCAAUGGCAGAAGGAUUUCGCCCUUGGUUAUUGACAGUAGUAAAUUUGCCAUCAUUAAAAAAAAAUAAGUCUAAGUUAUCUAUUACAUUGAAUAAAUCCAGGCCUCUGCUUUUAGUAGAUAAACAACCAAAUGCAAUGUGAUAGGCAUUGAAAUCUCCACCUAUGAAAAUAGGUUUUGGAAGAUAAUUAAUAAUAUUUUGCAAUCUAUUUAUUCUUAUAUGUCCCUUAGGAGGACAGUAAACACAAAGAAUAGUCAAAUUUCCACUACUAGUAGAUAAGGACAGAGCAAUGGUUUGAAUAUCUUCAUAAAAAGUAAUGUCUAAGAUAUUAUAUUUUAAAUGAGGUUUAAUGAGUAUUGCUACUCCAAUAAGAUGGUUAUUAGAGUUUUUAUUAUAAAUAUUAUAUCCCGGUAUUUUAAAAAUAUUAUCUUUAAAUCAAAUUUUCAUUUAAUAAACAUAUAUCAAUAGACUUUUCAUUUAAAAAUGUAGUAAGUAAGGGUUUUUUGCCAUUUGCACUUUGUAUAUUGUAUUGAGCGAUCCGUAACUUUGAUUGAGUAUGGUAUGGAUCCAUUAUUUUAAAUUUUUUAUUAAAGGAUCAUUAAUUCUUGCAACAGUGGUAGGAGCAUCAUCACAUUUAUUAGCCAAUUCCACCAAUGUCUGUACUAAGGCCAUCAGCACAUCAUUGUUGGCAACAAUAUGGUUUUUAAUGUCUUGUUGUGUACAGAGAUACUUAUCAUUAUUUACAUUAUCUACAAUAUUAUUUACAGAUUUAUCUACAAUUUUAUUUACAGGUUUAUUUAUAAUUUUAUGUAUAGGUUUAUUUACAAUAUUAUUUACAAAUGGUUGUUUGGGGGUUGAAAGGAAAUCUAAUUGUUUUCUUGUUUAAAUUCUUAGAUGUAGCGCUUGCAUAUGUUACUUUUUGUUUUUUUUCCAUAAUUUUCUUAAUUUUAAUUGGACAUAGUUUGGAGAUUGCUAAAUGAGAUGCACUGUAAUUUACACAGCAGAUUUCAUUAGGUUUAUUACAUUCUUUAAACAAGUGAUUACCUCCACAUAUGGAACAUCUUUGCUUACUGUUGCAAAUUUUUGCAGAGUGGUUGAAUUUAAAGCAUUUAAAACAUUGCUGUAAUGGUGGAACAUAUUUAAAUACCCUAUAAGAGAAUAGAUAAUAAAAAGGGCAAAAGCUGGCUUGAUCCAGAUGUGCAGUACGCAUAGGGACUGCGAAAGCACGUCCUAUCGAUCCUUUAGUAUAAAGAGUAUUUAGCAAGAGGUGACAGAAAAGUUACCACAGGGAUAACUGGCUUGUGGCGGCCAAGCGUUCAUAGCGACGUUGCUUUUUGAUCUUUCGAUGUCGGCUCUUCCUAUCAUUGCGAAGCAAAAUUCGCCAAGCGUUGGAUUGUUCACCCAUCAAAAGGGAACGUGAGCUGGGUUUAGACCGUCGUGAGACAGGUUAGUUUUACCCUCCUGAUGGCGUGUCGUUGCGAUAGUAAUAUAAGUAGGGCUCUUCUUGCCCAGUUUUUCAUUGCUCACUGACUCAACGUAAACUUUAAAUUCUGUAUUAAAUUUUGUCCUUCUCACCGCCUCCACCAUAAUCAGGGAUCAAUCAAUCAUCAUCAAUGAGGGGGGCGGGUUGUCCCCGCCAUCAUUACCCUUCAUCUCAGCAACCACUCACUAUAUUAUUAAUUAUU
rnacentral:rRNA from 1 species